GUGCCCGUGGCUCAAGGGAUGGAGCGCUGGCUUGCGGAGCCGGGGAAUGCGGGUUCGAUUCCCGCCGGGCAUGCCA
rnacentral:tRNA from 1 species